AGUGAACGCUGGCGGUAGGCCUAACACAUGCAAGUCGAACGGCAGCACAGAGGAGCUUGCUCCUUGGGUGGCGAGUGGCGGACGGGUGAGGAAUACAUCGGAAUCUACUCUGUCGUGGGGGAUAACGUAGGGAAACUUACGCUAAUACCGCAUACGACCUACGGGUGAAAACAGGGGAUCUUCGGACCUUGCGCGAUUGAAUGAGCCGAUGUCGGAUUAGCUAGUUGGUGGGGUAAAGGCCCACCAAGGCGACGAUCCGUAGCUGGUCUGAGAGGAUGAUCAGCCACACUGGAACUGAGACACGGUCCAGACUCCUACGGGAGGCAGCAGUGGGGAAUAUUGGACAAUGGGCGCAAGCCUGAUCCAGCCAUACCGCGUGGGUGAAGAAGGCCUUCGGGUUGUAAAGCCCUUUUGUUGGGAAAGAAAUCCAUCUGGUUAAUACCCGGGUGGGAUGACGGUACCCAAAGAAUAAGCACCGGCUAACUUCGUGCCAGCAGCCGCCGUAA
rnacentral:rRNA from 1 species